GUUCAGGCGUCCGCACUCCUCCACAUAGCCCUGUGCUUCAGGGGCAGAUGGCCCAGCUCUGAGCUACUGAAGGGGCAUCCUGAUUGCCUAAUCCAAUCAUGGCUCCACAUCCCUCCGGCCGUGGACAUAGGACCCAGUUCUGGCUGCGGAAAUGCCAGAGGCUCCUGGGAAAGUCAUCUUUGUUCCUGCCAAAGAGAACAGGAAGAGGUGCUGCAUUUCUUACUUUGGACGUUGUGGGGCCUGAGGGCAAAUCCCAUACAGUGAGCACAGAGAUUUACCUAAAAGAAUCCGGGCCUUUGGUGAUGUUGGGUGCCAGUGUUCACAUUGUGCCUGAAGAACAACCUUCUGCUAGUCUAUAUUUCCUCCUGAUUUAAGCCAGUUUGAAUCAGGGUUUCAGUCCCUUUCAGUUGAAAGCAGCUAGUGACCUGGGUGAAUGACUGAAAGUGGACAUCCUUGGUGGACUGUGAUGUGCAGGGCCAGCUUGAGGAGUGUGUGACCUGUGCCACGACAUAAGGCCUCAAGCUUCGUCUUCAAGACACUAGGCCAGAUGUGUCAUCUGUGAAACCCACCAGCUUAACUGUAAAAUGGGAGAUUGAACCAUUCAUCAGCUCAUACCUCUGGAUACCUUCCAACACUGUUAAGAAUUCAGCUUUCCUCCCACCCACUUCGGAUGACAACAUUUCCUACCCUGCUUUGCUUGAGGCUGCACCCAUAAGACUAGUUCUGGCUCAAGGGCUAUGAACAGAAGUGAUAUGGGCAGUUCUGGGCCGAAGCAUUUAGCGUUAGUGUGUGACCCUCCAGCUUUCCCUUCCCUUGCUGCGACAAUUGUGGAGGCCAUACCUUUAGAUGGUGGAGCCACAAGAUGGAAACAGCCUGGAUCCUUGAGUCACCAGAUGGAAAAUACCUAUCCUGAAGAGUUUCCCAUCUCACAUUGGACAUGUGUAUGCACAAGAAAUACAAGCCUUUGCUGUGGAUCAUCUUUUGCUCCAUCUGAUGAGACAGUCACCACACGGUAGAGGUUAAAAUUCUGGCCACCAACUAGACAGUAUACAACUGCAACAUAAACAAAUAUACGACUAGGAGAAUCAGGAGGAACCGGAAAGCUCACCAAAAUCAAGAUCCAAGUUUUCAGAGAUUAAACUCCCAGAAAAGAACCACUUCUUGACCUGAGUUAUGGGAAUGAGACAAGGAGUAUUGACCAGGUUGUUAUCUUUUGAAAUUUUUUGAAGUUUCUCUAACUUUUUUGAUAAUGUUGAAAAUCCGUCUGAGAGAUCUUUGGGAAUAUAAGCUGCUUAGAAGCAAAGAGAUCUGAAGUUUCUGAGGAAGUGUAUUGCCAAAAAGCCCACAAGCCUGGCCUGAAUAAAUAAGUAAAGCCAUGAAACAACACUUGAAUCUGCAAACUUGCGCCAUCAGGAAUCAAGUUGUCAAAGCUGUAUAGUCAGUCCCCAAGGAAGGCAAGUUCCCCACUUCACGUAGAGCCAGGGACAACAAUGGCUGGGCGAGAACUUGCCAGAGGGCAGAACCAGGGCCUAAGGAGAACAAUGACAGAAUUUUUC
ensembl:lncRNA